CGAAAUUUGAAAUAGCAAUCAGAAACUAAUUUUCUGUUCGUAUUGAUUUACUGGUUGUCAAGGUAAAAAGAUUGCGUGACUCCAUUAUAGUCCAUUACUAAUGACGUAAUAUGCAUAUCCCGAAAAUCCAAGAUGGCGGACAGCAGAGGUGGAAAAAGUACACUUUUGGAGAAAUUUUUACAUGCAUUUUUUAUGCUUGACAGCUAAUUCUGAAAAUUUGAUUACUGGAACGAUUGAAUACCUAAUUAAUCUUAGUACUCGAUACCUAAAUUACAACGGAAAAAGUUUCAUAAAAAUAUUCGUAUAGCCUGCGGUAGGAAAUUUGAAUUUUUUAUCUCGUAUGCCUUAUCAAACAUUGCUUCACACGACAACACCAUAUAAGGCAAUCACAAAAUAAUGACAAUAUUAAUGUGAAUUUUUCUAGACCUAGGCCUUUUAUUUUUAAUAUUCAGCGCGC